GAGAGGAGCAGAAGAGCUACAUUUUAUCUUACAAUUUCAACUUUCGGGGCUACAACUUGACAAGUGCUAUUACAGUCAGAAGAGGAACUAAUGAAAAAGCGCUCUUCUGAAAUUGCUGGCGAGGGAACUGCCCUAAAACCUAAGAAAAUGGUUGGAUGGAUGAAGGUGCAAGUGUUUAUUGGUCAAAAAGGGACUACUGUGAGAGAUUUUGGAAGUGCCGUGAAUUGAA